rnacentral:rRNA from 1 species
GACGAACGCUGGCGGCGUGCUUAACACAUGCAAGUCGAACGGAAAGGCCCUGCUUUUGUGGGGUGCUCGAGUGGCGAACGGGUGAGUAACACGUGAGUAACCUGCCCUUGACUUUGGGAUAACUUCAGGAAACUGGGGCUAAUACCGGAUAGGAGCUCCUGCUGCAUGGUGGGGGUUGGAAAGUUUCGGCGGUUGGGGUUGGACUCGCGGCUUAUCAGCUUGUUGGUGGGGUAGUGGCUUACCAAGGCUUUGACGGGUAGCCGGCCUGAGAGGGUGACCGGCCACAUAGGGCCUGAGGUGGCGCCCGGACUCCUACGGGAGGCAGCAGUGGGGAAUAUUGCACAAUGGGCGGAGGCCGGAUGCAGCAACGCCGCGUGCUAGAUGACGGCCGUCGGGUUGUAAACCGCGUUCGCCUGUGACGAAGCGUUAGUGACGGUAAUGGGUAAAGAAGCACCGGCUAACUACGUG